GCGCCUGUGGUGAAGGGGUAUCAUCUGAGGCUUCCAACCUCCAGUCCCGGGUUCAAAUCCCGGCGGGCGCACCA
rnacentral:tRNA from 2 species